ensembl:snRNA U1 U1 spliceosomal RNA
AUAUUUGUUCAGCAGGGAAAACACCAUGAUCACAAAGGUGGUUUCUACAAGGCAAGGCUCCUACAUUACACUGCACAUGUGCAGAUCUCUGGGAUUUCUCCAAAUACAGAAAACACAGUAGUAGCAAAAUGUAUGGUACUGAGGGGCUGUGUUUGCACUCAGCCCAGU